GACCGAAACGAACCCGGUAUCCGUGCCAGAACUAUCGCGCGAUCUCGACUAAACGAAUUUCUUCUUCGAGCGUUUUUUGCGUUCACCUGUGUUCUGACACGGAUCGUACCGAUUUCGCCGCUCGCGCGCAAGCGUGCGGGCUCACACACACACGCGCGCACACACACGCACACACACAUACACACACACACACAUACACACACACACACACACACACAAACACAGACAAAGGCAUACAUACACGCGAGAACGUACGUGCGCGUUUUUCGUACGCGAAACUCCAGUCGCUUUUCCUCGGAUGAAAACGUUCCGGCAGAGUGUCGACGUCGGCGUAGGUUCGCGCGAAAUACCAAGUACUCGAGACAAUGACCUUAUCAGACAUUUUAACGUUCGCUUAUCGAUCGUUCGCAAAUCAAUGUGCAAUUUCGAAAUUUCCGUGCCUAGGUAGGUGGCCAAUAUCGAUGAAAGAUUCGUUUUGUUUCGCGCUCGAUCAACGAACCGCGAACGAGAUUGGGAAGGUAGAAGCGUCGUGAGUCUCGGUGAUCCUUGGCGAGUGGUCGUUUGUCCAAGAAAGAAAAGGCGUUCACGCUUUCGAGACUCGCUCUGCGUAAACCCCGAGAACACGAGCGAACCGACGACGAUUAAUGGCGGAAAAGCGAGAUUGUAGCGAGCGCGUGAUACCAGGCACGAAACACGAAGCGCCAAACGCGAUCGACCGAGUCGAUCCUACCUCUAGUUAGCUCCUGAUAUGCUCGAGCAAUCCUAUUUCUAUCUACCAUUUUCCACGUACAAUUUUAUCGAUCGAUUUAUAUUUUUUUAAGCGUUACGAUUUUUAUCGCUCUCGUAUUGUAUAGAUCGCGUUCGAACGACUAGCGUUCGUUUAGAGGCAAUUUGCAAAUCUUAUUUUUCUCGUUU